GCGCACCAGUCGCGAACCUUCGCAAUGCGGGAAACCGCGACGAGGGGACUCCUAGUGCCUACGCUCAGCGUAGGCUGUUCCCGGGCCUAGAAAGCUCGGGGAGUAAGGGCUGGGUAAGACGGGUGCCAGCCGCCGCGGUAAUACCCGCAGCCCGAGUGGUGGCCACUAUUAUUGGGCCUAAAGCGUCCGUAGCCGGCCCGGUAAAUGCCUGGGUAAAUCGUGAGGCCUAACCUCACGAAUUCCGGGUAGACUGCCGGGCUAGGGACCGGAGGAGGGAGAGGGUACUCCAGGGGUAGGGGUGAAAUCCUGUAAUCCCUGGAGGACCACCGGUGGCGAAGGCGCUCUCCUAGGACGGGUCCGACGGUGAGGGACGAAAGCCAGGGGAGCGAACCGGAUUAGAUACCCCGGUAGU
rnacentral:rRNA from 1 species